rnacentral:rRNA from 1 species
UCAGGAUGAACGCUAGCUACAGGCUUAACACAUGCAAGUCGAGGGGCAUCAGGAAGAAAGCUUGCUUUCUUUGCUGGCGACCGGCGCACGGGUGAGUAACACGUAUCCAACCUGCCCUUUACUCGGGGAUAGCCUUUCGAAAGAAAGAUUAAUACCCGAUAGCAUAAUGAUUCCGCAUGGUUUCAUUAUUAAAGGAUUCCGGUAAAGGAUGGGGAUGCGUUCCAUUAGGUUGUUGGUGAGGUAACGGCCCACCAAGCCUUCGAUGGAUAGGGGUUCUGAGAGGAAGGUCCCCCACAUUGGAACUGAGACACGGUCCAAACUCCUACGGGAGGCAGCAGUGAGGAAUAUUGGUCAAUGGGCGCUAGCCUGAACCAGCCAAGUAGCGUGAAGGAUGAAGGCUCUAUGGGUCGUAAACUUCUUUUAUAUAAGAAUAAAGUGCAGUAUGUAUACUGUUUUGUAUGUAUUAUAUGAAUAAGGAUCGGCUAACUCCGUGCCAGCAGCCGCGGUAAUACGGAGGAUCCGAGCGUUAUCCGGAUUUAUUGGGUUUAAAGGGAGCGUAGGUGGACUGGUAAGUCAGUUGUGAAAGUUUGCGGCUCAACCGUAAAAUUGCAGUUGAUACUGUCAGUCUUGAGUACAGUAGAGGUGGGCGGAAUUCGUGGUGUAGCGGUGAAAUGCUUAGAUAUCACGAAGAACUCCGAUUGCGAAGGCAGCUCACUGGACUGCAACUGACACUGAUGCUCGAAAGUGUGGGUAUCAAACAGGAUUAGAUACCCUGGUAGUCCACACAGUAAACGAUGAAUACUCGCUGUUUGCGAUAUACAGUAAGCGGCCAAGCGAAAGCAUUAAGUAUUCCACCUGGGGAGUACGCCGGCAACGGUGAAACUCAAAGGAAUUGACGGGGGCCCGCACAAGCGGAGGAACAUGUGGUUUAAUUCGAUGAUACGCGAGGAACCUUACCCGGGCUUAAAUUGCAGUGGAAUGAUGUGGAAACAUGUCAGUGAGCAAUCACCGCUGUGAAGGUGCUGCAUGGUUGUCGUCAGCUCGUGCCGUGAGGUGUCGGCUUAAGUGCCAUAACGAGCGCAACCCUUAUCUUUAGUUACUAACAGGUUAUGCUGAGGACUCUAGAGAGACUGCCGUCGUAAGAUGUGAGGAAGGUGAGGAUGACGUCAAAUCAGCACGGCCCUUACGUCCGGGGCUACACACGUGUUACAAUGGGGGGUACAGAAGGCAGCUAGCGGGUGACCGUAUGCUAAUCCCAAAAUCCUCUCUCAGUUCGGAUCGAAGUCUGCAACCCGACUUCGUGAAGCUGGAUUCGCUAGUAAUCGCGCAUCAGCCACGGCGCGGUGAAUACGUUCCCGGGCCUUGUACACACCGCCCGUCAAGCCAUGGGAGCCGGGGGUACCUGAAGUACGUAACCGCAAGGAUCGUCCUAGGGUAAAAC